UGCCAGCCGCCGCGGUAAUACGGAGGGGGUUAGCGUUGUUCGGAAUUACUGGGCGUAAAGCGCGCGUAGGCGGAUUGGAAAGUUAGGGGUGAAAUCCCGGGGCUCAACCCCGGAACUGCAUUCGAUACUGGUAGACUAGAGUUUGGGAGGGGUAAGCGGAAUUCCGUGUGUAGCAGUGAAAUGCGUAGAUAUACGGAGGAACACCUGAGGCGAAGGCGGCUUACUGGACCAAUACUGACACUGAGGAUCGAAAGCGUGGGUAGCAAACAGGAUUAGAUA
rnacentral:rRNA from 1 species